rnacentral:rRNA from 1 species
CAGUCGCCGCGGUAAUACGCAGGUGGCAAGCGUUGUCCGGAAUUAUUGGGCGUAAAGGGCUCGCAGGCGGUUUCUUAAGUCUGAUGUGAAAGCCCCCGGCUCAACCGGGGAGGGUCAUUGGAAACUGGGAAACUUGAGUGCAGAAGAGGAGAGUGGAAUUCCACGUGUAGCGGUGAAAUGCGUAGAGAUGUGGAGGAACACCAGUGGCGAAGGCGACUCUCUGGUCUGUAACUGACGCUGAGGAGCGAAAGCGUGGGGAGCGAACAGGAUUAGAUACCCCCGUAGUCCCUGUCUCUUAUAU